GCCGCGGUAUACCUGACCGUGCAAAGGUAGCAUAAUCACUCGCCUUUUAAUUGUAGGCUCGUAUGAAUGGAUAAACGAGGGACCCCCUGUCUCAUGGAGACAAACUAUAAAUUAAUCUUCAGGUGAAGAAGCCUGAAUAUAUUUAAAAGACAAGAAGACCCUAUAGAGUUUUACUUAUUUAACACCUAUUUUAAAAUAUUAAUAUUUAGAUCAACAUUAAUAAGUUUAGUUGGGGCGACUAAGGAACAUGAAAACCUUCCUUCACAUAAAGAAUUAAUUCAACAUUAUGAUCCUAAGAAGACUAUUAAAAACACAUUACCUUAGGGAUAACAGGCUAAUCUCCCCAGAGAGUCCAAAUUGACGGGGAGGGUUGGCACCUCGAUGUUGGCUUAAGACAACUUUUAAAUGCAGC
rnacentral:rRNA from 1 species